AGCAUCGGUCUUUGCAAGCAGAAUAUUGCUCAGUGAUGCUUGGAGAAAAGAAGCAAUUGCUUAUUCAUUAAUAAGAGAGCACUUGUUUUGUACAAAUGGUUUUAUACCUAUGAAGCAUUUUACUCUAAAGCAGCAUCUCUUCAGGACUUCAGCCCUAUCACUUUUUCUUGGCUUUGGUUCCAUAAAAAGAAACAAAACAGAG
rnacentral:misc_RNA from 1 species